GGAGAGGUGCCCGAGUGGUUUAAGGGAACAGUCUUGAAAACUGUCGUGUCAGCAAUGGCACCGCGAGUUCGAAUCUCGCCCUCUCCGCCA
rnacentral:tRNA from 1 species